rnacentral:rRNA from 1 species
UGGGGAAUCUUCCGCAAUGGGCGAAAGCCUGACGGAGCAACGCCGCGUGAAUGAAGAAGGCCUUCGGGUCGUAAAGUUCUGUCUUUAGGGAAGAAAGAGCCAGGUACUAAUAAUGCCUGGAAGUGACGGUACCUAAGGAGGAAGCUCCGGCUAACUACGUGCCAGCAGCCGCGGUAAUACGUAGGGAGCGAGCGUUGUCCGGAAUUACUGGGCGUAAAGGGCGCGUAGGCGGGUGUUUAAGUCAGAUGUGAAAACUUUAGGCUCAACCUGAAGCCUGCAUUUGAAACUGGACAUCUUGAGGGCAGGAGAGGAAAGUGGAAUUCCUAGUGUAGCGGUGAAAUGCGUAGAUAUUAGGAGGAACACCAGUGGCGAAGGCGACUUUCUGGACUGUACCUGACGCUGAGGCGCGAAAGCGUGGGGAGCGAACA